rnacentral:misc_RNA from 1 species
GUAGGUGAACCUGCGGAGGGAUCAUUAACACGUUCCAAACCCCAAACUACUAUCAACCCAACUGUGAAGCUUUGUAUCUGCCGACGGUCGCCUCGAGCUCGACGGUGCGAGCUGAGAUCCAGGAUGAAGGUGAAAGGGUGGAGAGCGAUCUCUCCCUUUCAUACGGGUCGAGCUCGCUACAUGGUGGCCUUCCCUAUGUCUCUCUCUGUUGAGAGCUUCGGAGCUGCCAGCCGUCCUCGAGGAUGACUUG